rnacentral:rRNA from 1 species
GUGGGGAAUCUUCCGCAAUGGACGAAAGUCUGACGGAGCAACGCCGCGUGAGUGAAGAAGGUUUUCGGAUCGUAAAGCUCUUUCGUUAGGGACGAACGUGCUCUUUGUGAAUAAUGAGGAGUAAUGACGGUACCUAAAUAAGAAGCCACGGCUAACUACGUGCCAGCAGCCGCGGUAAUACGUAGGUGGCAAGCGUUGUCCGGAAUUAUUGGGCGUAAAGCGCGCGCAGGCGGGAUAUCAAGUCUGUCUUAAAAGUGCGAGGCUCAACCUCGUGAGGGGACAGAAACUGGUAUUCUUGAGUGUCGGAGAGGAAAGUGGAAUUCCAAGUGUAGCGGUGAAAUGCGUAGAGAUUUGGAAGAACACCAGUGGCGAAGGCGACUUUCUGGACGAUGUCUGACGCUGAGGUGCGAAAGCUAGGGGAGCGAACGGGAUUAGAUACCCUGGUAGUC